rnacentral:lncRNA from 1 species
AGAAUCCACCAAUUGAAGGAUGAGAUAAUAUCACCAUUUGUGGGGCCCAUCCUCUAAUUAUGAGGCCUCUCCCUUUGUUCCUUUCCUCAAACUUUUCAUCAGUAAUCCAUUUUUCCAACUCUUGAGUUUUAUUAGUUCCAUCCCUAAUCACCCAAAUAAAUGGCAUUUUGGUUUCUUCUAAUCCCAAAGCCAAUUCAACAAGUUGUGAAGAAGCUAAGUUGCAUAAACUUCCAAGGCAAACAUAAACAACAGAUUUUGGUUUAUACAAAUCUAAAAACUUUAAACAAUUUUGUUCACUUAUUGAAGCUAUGUUACCUCUUUCAGCCUUAUCUAAAUCAUCUUUGUUGCAAAGCGAAACAGGACCAACGCACCAAACCUUAUCAUUUCUUUCUUUUUUAUAAUCAUUAACAUAUUCUUUCUCCAGUUCUUCAAAAGUGUUUAUGAUUUCACCAUAUGAUUUCAUUUCAGCUUCAUGCAUUUUCUUCAAAAGCUCUUCCUCCAUUGCUACUGGGAUUUGCUCUUUGGUGACUUGAAUAUUGUGAGGUAUGCCAGGAACAGUGAAAUACUCGGAAUCAGAAGUUACGCUUUCAAGAAUCUUUGAAGAGUGUACCUUGAGAACGCAAUGGAGACAGAAGCAAGAGAAACCAUGGAAUGAGAUCCUUGGAAUUUGAUGUUUUUCAGCUAAUUGACAAGUCCAAGGUAUGCAAAAAUCAGAGAUAAUGCAAUUUGGUUUUGGUAACAGUUUAUCAAACAGUUCCUCUGCUGAUUUGUGAAGCAAGGAAACUGCAUGAAAAAGACUAUACAUGAUAUCUUUUGAAAUAUCAACCAUGUCGAAAUUCUCACAACCAUCUGGUAAUCCAGCUUGUUCUGAUGGAAAAUUGAGAGUUACAAGAUUGAUUUGAAGGCCAGAGGAAACAGCACGAGAAAGAACAGAAGUAAAGCGUGAUGCAUUUUUGGGUGUAGUGAAAA